AACGAACGCUGGCGGCAGGCUUAACACAUGCGUGUCGAACGAUCCUUCGGGAUAGUGGCGGACGGGUGAGUAACACGUGGGAACGUGCCCUUUGGUUCGGAACAACUCAGGGAAACUUGAGCUAAUACCGAAUGUGCCCUUCGGGGGAAAGAUUUAUCGCCAUUGGAGCGGCCCGCGUCUGAUUAGCUAGUUGGUGAGGUAAUGGCUCACCAAGGCGACGAUCAGUAGCUGGUCUGAGAGGAUGAUCAGCCACACUGGGACUGGGACACGGCCCAGACUCCUACGGGAGGCAGCAGUGGGGAAUCUUGCGCAAUGGGCGAAAGCAUGACGCAGCCAUGCCGCGUGAAUGAUGAAGGUCUUAGGAUUGUAAAAUUCUUUCACCGGGGACGAUAAUGACGGUACCCGGAGAAGAAGCUCCGGCUAACUUCGUGCCAGCAGCCGCCGUAACAC
rnacentral:rRNA from 1 species